CGAACGGAAACGUUGGAAGCUUGCUUCCAGGCGUCGAGUGGCGGACGGGUGAGUAAUACUUAGGAAUCUGCCCAUUAGUGGGGGACAACUCGGGGAAACUCGAGCUAAUACCGCAUACGCCCUACGGGGGAAAGCGGAGGACCUUUCGGGGCUUCGCGCUAAUGGAUGAGCCUAAGUCGGAUUAGCUAGUUGGUGAGGUAAAGGCUCACCAAGGCGACGAUCCGUAGCUGGUCUGAGAGGACGAUCAGCCACACUGGGACUGAGACACGGCCCAGACUCCUACGGGAGGCAGCAGUGGGGAAUAUUGGACAAUGGGCGCAAGCCUGAUCCAGCAAUGCCGCGUGUGUGAAGAAGGC
rnacentral:rRNA from 1 species